rnacentral:rRNA from 1 species
CCCUUAGAUGUUCUGGGCCGCACGCGCGCUACACUGAUGCUUUCAACGAGCCUAUCCUUGACCGACAGGUCCGGGUAAUCUUUGAAUCUGCAUCGUGACGGGGAUAGAUUAUUGCAAUUAUUAAUCUUCAACGAGGAAUGCCUAGUAGGCGCAAGUCAUCAGCUUGCGUCGAUUACGUCCCUGCCCUUUGUACACACCGCCCGUCGCUCCUACCGAUUGGGUGUGCUGGUGAAAUGUUCGGAUCGGCCGUUUGUCGCGGUUUCCGCGUCAUGUGGCUGAGAAGUUCAUUAAACCCUCCCACCUAGAGGAAGGAGAAGUCGUAACA